rnacentral:sRNA from 1 species
UGAGCGUAAAGGAUAACGUUGCGUCAGCAACGGCCCGUAGGGCGAGGCGAAGCCGAGUCAUCCUGCACGACCCACCA